rnacentral:lncRNA from 1 species
UUGAAAAUUUCUUUAAGCACAUUUAAAAGCACUCCUUCAUACCUAUAUGCUAUUGAUUCCCUUCAUUUAAUUUGCAAUUUUAGAUGGAACACGGGUUAAUUAGUAAAACUAAUUUAUGCACAAUCAAUCAUACAAAUGUGUCCACUGAAUACCAGUCGCUCAUACAGUAACAGGUAAAACAUUGUAGUAAAGAAAUAGCAUAAUGAUGCCUACUUGCUUAAAAGGUUCAUGUGAACAAAAUUGGUUUGGAGCUCCUUUGCCUGAUUAGAGAAAAAAUAAAAUAAAAUAAGAACUACAAAAAUAAUUGACCCAACCGCCAAAAAAAUCUACAAUAACAUACUAUUUCAACACUAAAGUUAAUGUUCCAAGAUAUCAGUAAAGUCUUUUCUCCCAAUCUACACCAUAUAGAUUACUUAAAAUUGGGCCCACCUUAAUUAUAAACUGUGGAAUCUCCAUCAACAUCCCAACUUUCUUUUUGUUCUAUCCUGCUUCCUGCAUAACCAUACACUGUUUAGUGAAGCGUGCAUAAGUAUUAUUAUUUCAGUGGUCUCACUAAUAAACUAAAAUGUGUAUGAUGGAUAGAACUACAUCGUCCUGCCAACUUUUAAACAAAAUCUUUCUUUCAAAACUACUAUAAAAUAUUCUUUUAAGAUUAUCAUUUUUGUAGCAAAACCUAUUAGACUUUAGACUCACAGUCUGAAAUGUGAAUUUUUUUCCCAUUCAGAUGUUUCAAGUUUUUAUCAACAUGUGUGCAUACACACACACGCUAACUGUGUAAAAAAAAUGUGCAAGGUAUUUAUGUAAAUCAAACCAAACAACAUACAACUGGAGUAUACGCGGCAAUUGAAGCAUACUACCAAAUACAACCUCCAAGGAAAGGAGCAAAGAACGCAUAGAAUGCCACAACCAACAGGAAAAAUACCGUUAUCGCAACAACCUACCCAAUGUGAAAUAAAAAAAUCAGAUCUUCUCAAUUUUAAAUUAACAAAAGUGAGUAACAAAGUGUAGCAAGAAAUUUCAAAAACAUAUGCAGUCAGACAGUGUCACUAUAUAAUGACACUUGGAAAAAGUUGUUAUGAAACUGAAAGUCAGCAUCUAUUCAGGAUUAAUUAAGCCAAAACCAAAGAAAAUUACCACAACAUUGAAUUGAAAAUGUCACUGAUUUUAUAAAAAUCUUUGAAACGUCACUGAUUUUUCCUUGAUGAUGUUAAAUAGUAUGACUGCAAAUGAUUUUAAAUAUCUUAAAGUAUCUGUGUUUCACCAAAAAAUAUACGGUAAAACUAUAGAAAAGAAACAAAAUC